AGGUGCUGCAUGGCUGUCGUCAGCUCGUGUCGUGAGAUGUUGGGUUAAGUCCCGCAACGAGCGCAACCCUUGCCAUUAGUUGCUACGAAAGGGACACUCUAAUGGGACUGCCGGUGACAAACCGGAGGAAGUGGGGAUGACGUCAAGUCCUCAUGGCCCUUAUAGGUGGGGCUACACACGUCAUACAAUGGCCGGUACAGAGGGUAGCCAACCCGCGAGGGGGAGCCAAUCCCACAAAGCCGGUCGUAGUCCGGAUCGCAGUCUGCAACUCGACUGCGUGAAGUCGGAAUCGCUAGUAAUCGCGGAUCAGCAUGUCGCGGUGAAUACGUUCCCGGGUCUU
rnacentral:rRNA from 1 species